GAAAGUUCUGCAAGGUUCUUGUCCAGUUUAACCCUUACAUGUCAUCUCUCCAUCUCUCCCCCCUCAUCUUCUCUCUCCUAGUGGGUGUGGUACCUCCCUCCCUGCCUGUCCUACUUCCCUCCAGUGAGGAGCAGGACCAGGGGAAUGUGGCCCUAGUGUGCCUGGCCAACAGGGGCUUCCCGGAGGGCUGGAAGCUGGGUUGGAGGCUGGGGGCCGGGGGAGCCUUGCAGGGCAGCCAGAGUCUGGAGGUCCUGGAGAAGGAUGGUCACUACAGCUGGAGCAGCAGCCUCACCCUCCCCACUGACCAGUGGAGGAAGGCUGGCUCAGUCACCUGUGAGGCCUCCCUAAAGGACCAGACCCCCGUCACUCACACACUGGAGCCACACCACUGCUCUCAGUAGACACCCUGUACACAGAGAACA